GCGCUCGUCGUAUAAUGGAUAAGACACAUCCCUCCGAAGGAUGAAAUGCAGGUUCGAUUCCUGCCGAGCGCA
rnacentral:tRNA from 2 species